rnacentral:rRNA from 1 species
GGGGAUAUUGCACAAUGGGCGGAAGCCUGAUGCAGCAACGCCGCGUGAGUGAUGAAGGCCCUCGGGUCGUAAAACUCUUUUCAAGAGGAAGAGGAAGGACGGUACUCUUGGAAUAAGCCUCGGCUAACUACGAUCCAGCAGCCGCGGUAAAACGUAGGAGGCGAGCGUUAUUCGGAUUUACUGGGCGUAAAGCGCGUGUAGGCGGCUGAUCAAGUUGGAUGUGAAAGCUCCCGGCUUAACUGGGAGACGACGUUCAAAACUGAGCAGCAUGAGUAUGAGAGAGGAGAACGGAAUUCCGGGUGCAGUGGUGAAAUACGUAGAUAUCCGGAGGAACACCAGUGACGAAGGCGAUAUUCUGGCUCAAGACUGACGAUAAGACGCGAAA